GCGCCGUUCCUGCAUUACGGCUCCACAGUUACACUUGUUUAUGCCAAAGUAUGAAAUUUCCAUCAUCUUUCGGUAUAUCUGCUCAUAAAAAACCUGCCUGAUCAUUAGCAACAAGUUCUAAGUUCUUCACGGCUCUAAUGGACACGAUCGAUCAUGCAGCACGCCCAUCCCUGAGCCUCUCUCUCUCUCUCUCUCGCUCACUCAGGUCUAGCGACUUGAGCUCUCUCGAGCAGCGUCUUUGUUUGUCACACAAAUGAAGAGUUGAUGAGGAUGACGAUGAUGAUGAGAAGUAGUCGAAAGAUGCGGCGGAGGGAGGAGGGCACGAUGACGAAGCGGAUGAAGAAGA